rnacentral:rRNA from 1 species
AGUGAACGCUGGCGGUAGGCCUAACACAUGCAAGUCGAACGGCAGCACAGUAAGAGCUUGCUCUUACGGGUGGCGAGUGGCGGACGGGUGAGGAAUACAUCGGAAUCUACUUUUUCGUGGGGGAUAACGUAGGGAAACUUACGCUAAUACCGCAUACGACCUACGGGUGAAAGCAGGGGAUCUUCGGACCUUGCGCGAUUGAAUGAGCCGAUGUCGGAUUAGCUAGUUGGCGGGGUAAAGGCCCACCAAGGCGACGAUCCGUAGCUGGUCUGAGAGGAUGAUCAGCCACACUGGAACUGAGACACGGUCCAGACUCCUACGGGAGGCAGCAGUGGGGAAUAUUGGACAAAGGGCGCAAGCCUGAUCCAGCCAUACCGCGUGGGUGAAGAAGGCCUUCGGGUUGUAAAGCCCUUUUGUUGGGAAAGAAAAGCAGCAGGUUAAUACCCCGCUGUUCUGACGGUACCCAAAGAGUAAGCACCGGCUAACUUCGUG